rnacentral:lncRNA from 1 species
CUUGUGAAAUGGAGUAUUACUCGAGAGAACACACAUAUUUUAAUAUUUUUUCACAAGUUUUCAAAUACAAAUUUUCUUUUAUUCUCAUUUUCAUAUUAAGUUAAGAUAUCAUAUGUAGAAUUCUCAAAAAAAAAAAACUCGAAUAUGUAAGUUCCUUGAUUCUCUUGUGAUUUAUAUUCGUUAUUUUCGUUUAAUUAUUCACACAUCCUAAUCAAACGAUAGUAAUCCGAUUAAAAAAAAUGAAUUUGGGAUAAAGCGUAAAU